UCUUAUUGUUCGCCGCUAUCGUUGCCGUUACUUACUACCGUAGUUUGGUCACCUGGGGUCCCCUCUUGUUCCUGGGGGAGUCUCCUCGCUCUAGCGAUUGCCAUAAUCACUGCGUUUCACAUCCUGCUUAUAAUGUUAACCUGGUGCUACUUUAUGGUGGUAUUCAAUGAUCCUGGUUCUGUCCUGAAAAUUGGAGACUUCUAUCAGAGGACGAGAGUUUAGAAGCUGGUAUUCCUACAGCGUUCUCAAAUGAUGUUGCCCCUGAGCCUUCAGCUUCUGCACGGUCUUCUUCUGACGGAAUGGAAGAAGACGAGAGACUGGAUAUUGUAGUCGUUGCCAGAAUGGCAAGCCACACGUUGCCAUCAUUGCUCAAUUUCUUUAUACAUUCCUUGAGAC